AAAAUCACUCUAUUAAAUAUACUAGUCUAAAUUAGUUGCCCAAAAAAAAAAAAAUACUAGUCUAAAUAUAUUAAAAUGUUGAUUUAGUUAACUAUACCAAUUAUAUGGUAUAUGUUUAAUUAUACAGUUUAAUAUAUCAUCUCGUUCUACAGUAAUACAUGUUUAAUUGUGUUUUUCGAUAAGGUUGAAUGCUAUACUACAUAUUUUUAAGAUUCUAUAUUUGAUACUAUAAUCUACAUCACUGAAUUCACAAUUAUGGAGUCAAAAAAUAUAUAUAUAGGGGUUCAAAUGGUAUAUGCAUAGUAACUAUAUAUGGUGUCGUUGUAAUAAUAACAAAAAUAUAUAUGUUUAUGUUACUACGGUUUAUCGUUACUAUUUGAAGUCAAAUUAUAGAAAUGUUUUUAAGGAC
rnacentral:lncRNA from 1 species